GUGGCGGACGGGUGAGUAACGCGUGGGUAACCUGCCUCACACUGGGGGAUAACAGUUAGAAAUAGCUGCUAAUACCGCAUAAGCGCACAGUUCCGCAUGGAACAGUGUGAAAAACUCCGGUGGUGUGAGAUGGACCCGCGUCUGAUUAGCCAGUUGGCGGGGUAACGGCCCACCAAAGCGACGAUCAGUAGCCGGCCUGAGAGGGUGAACCGGCCACAUUGGGACUGAGACACGGCCAAACUCCUACGGGAGGCAGCAUG
rnacentral:rRNA from 1 species